rnacentral:rRNA from 2 species
GCAAGUCGAGCGAACUGAUUAGAAGCUUGCUUCUAUGACGUUAGCGGCGGACGGGUGAGUAACACGUGGGCAACCUGCCUGUAAGACUGGGAUAACUCCGGGAAACCGGAGCUAAUACCGGAUAACAUUUUCUCUUGCAUAAGAGAAAAUUGAAAGAUGGUUUCGGCUAUCUCUUACAGAUGGGCCCGCGGUGCAUUAGCUAGUUGGUGAGGUAACGGCUCACCAAGGCAACGAUGCAUAGCCGACCUGAGAGGGUGAUCGGCCACACUGGGACUGAGACACGGCCCAGACUCCUACGGGAGGCAGCAGUAGGGAAUCUUCCGCAAUGGACGAAAGUCUGACGGAGCAACGCCGCGUGAGUGAUGAAGGCUUUCGGGUCGUAAAACUCUGUUGUUAGGGAAGAACAAGUACAAGAGUAACUGCUUGUACCUUGACGGUACCUAACCAGAAAGCCACGGCUAACUACGUGCCAGCAGCCGCGGUAAUACGUAGGUGGCAAGCGUUAUCCGGAAUUAUUGGGCGUAAAGCGCGCGCAGGCGGUUUCUUAAGUCUGAUGUGAAAGCCCACGGCUCAACCGUGGAGGGUCAUUGGAAACUGGGGAACUUGAGUGCAGAAGAGAAAAGCGGAAUUCCACGUGUAGCGGUGAAAUGCGUAGAGAUGUGGAGGAACACCAGUGGCGAAGCGGCUUUUUGGUCUGUAC